AUUGAACGCUGGCGGCAUGCUUUACACAUGCAAGUCGAACGGCAGCGCGGGCUUCGGCCUGGCGGCGAGUGGCGAACGGGUGAGUAAUACAUCGGAACGUGCCCAGUAGUGGGGGAUAGCUCGGCGAAAGCCGGAUUAAUACCGCAUACGACCUGAGGGUGAAAGCGGGGGAUCUUCGGGCCUCGCGCUAUUGGAGCGGCCGAUGGCAGAUUAGCUAGUUGGUGGGGUAAAGGCCUACCAAGGCGACGAUCUGUAGCUGGUCUGAGAGGACGGCCAGCCACACUGGGACUGAGACACGGCCCAGACUCCUACGGGAGGCAGCAGUGGGGAAUUUUGGACAAUGGGCGAAAGCCUGAUCCAGCAAUGCCGCGUGUGUGAUGAAGGCCUUCGGGUUGUAAAGCACUUUUGGCGGGAACGAAAAGGACUGCGCCAAUACCACGGUUCGAUGACGGUACCCGCAGAAUAAGCACCGGCUAACUACGUG
rnacentral:rRNA from 1 species